AGUGAACGCUGGCGGUAGGCCUAACACAUGCAAGUCGAGCGGCAGCACAGUAAGAGCUUGCUCUUACGGGUGGCGAGUGGCGGACGGGUGAGGAAUACAUCGGAAUCUACUUUUUCGUGGGGGAUAACGUAGGGAAACUUACGCUAAUACCGCAUACGACCUACGGGUGAAAGCAGGGGAUCUUCGGACCUUGCGCGAUUGAAUGAGCCGAUGUCGGAUUAGCUAGUUGGCGGGGUAAAGGCCCACCAAGGCGACGAUCCGUAGCUGGUCUGAGAGGAUGAUCAGCCACACUAGAACUGAGACACGGUCCAGACUCCUACGGGAGGCAGCAGUGGGGAAUAUUGGACAAUGGGCGCAAGCCUGAUCCAGCCAUACCGCGUGGGUGAAGAAGGCCUUCGGGUUGUAAAGCCCUUUUGUUGGGAAAGAAAAGCAGCAGGUUAAUACCCCGCUGUUCUGACGGUACCCAAAGAAUAAGCACCGGCUAACUUCGUG
rnacentral:rRNA from 1 species